AUGUACGCAGCCCCCUCAAUAAAAAUUGCAGUGCACUUUAGUCCGACCUUUUAUUACUGUCUUCUUCCCCGAUCGAUUUGUUCCCCAACCGACCAAAUGGAAGCCCCCUCAACAAGCUACGUACAGUUCAAAACCAAAUCCAUUUGUUCUCAGCUUGCGGCUCCGAGAGGAAUUGCUGCUGCUGUGACGCCAUCGCAGAGCCAACGCACGACGCUGCAGUGGCCGGCGCCUGCCGGACUGGCAACGGAGAUUGGCGGCGGUCGACGGGGCGAGCUAGCUUGGGAGGGAGGAGCGAGCUGUCUUGGCGCUGGUAGGGAGGCGUGGCCGCGCGGGCGCGGAAUACAUCCAACGGUGGUCGGCCGCCUUGCCACAUGAAGCGCUGCGGCGUCCUCGGCUGGUGGCUCAACGUGCUGGAGUACUGAAGUCGAAGCCAGCGGCUGAACGCCCAGCUCUAGCAACACAGCAGCAAGCCGAGGGGCAGCAAGGAUCAGGCAACAUUGCAAGGGUGCCAUUGAAUCCAUGGCAAGGGUCUUGCAUAGCUCUGGCUCAACUACACCAAUUCCACUUGAAGGCGAAGAUGACACUCAUAGAUAUGCUAUGUUGAAAUAUGUUCAGAUGAGGGUAACGGAGAUAGCUAUAGAACACCAGAAAGAACAAUAAGCUUACCAUUCUAUGGUUCGAUCUAUGAGCCUAAUUGCAAGGAUGGCUUACAGCCCACAAUUGGUAUGGUGUUUGAUAGCUGGGAGCAAGGAGAAGAUUUCUACAGAGCAUAUGCUAAGCAUAUGGGAUUUGGGGUUCGCAAAUGGACGCAACACAAAAGGACAGAUGGCACAGCCAUCUGGAAGCGAUUUGUUUGUUCAAAGGAAGGUUGGAGGAAGGAGCAGGAAAGUGGUGAAGAUGAGAAGCCUAAAACGAAGGUCAAGAUAACUCGGUGUGGCUGUGAGGCUAUGAUUGGAUUCAAGAGGAGAGAUGAUGGCAAGUAUGUGGUCGCCAAGUUCAUCUCCUACCACACCCAUGAUUUGGUCUCCCCAAGGAUGAGGCAUUUAAUCAAAUCAAAUAGAGAAGUGACUAGCGCAGUGAAGUGUGCACUAUUCACAUGUCAUAAAGCGUCAAUUGCACUUCUGCAGCAUUUCGGAUGCUCGUGCAGAGAAAGGUGGGCCUGCAAACCUAGGUUGCACAAAGAAGGAUGUUCGAAACUAUGAACGUGGUUGCAGAAAAGUCAUUAGUGCUUCGGAUGCCCAGAUUUUAAUUGAUAUCAUGAAAGAGAAGCAAAGGAUCAAUUCAUCAUUCUUUUUUGAGUACCAGUUAGUUAGACGACAGGUUGAGGCUAACACACAUUUUCUGGGCUGAUAGCACUUGCAUAAGGAACUAUAAGUUGUUUGGCGAUGUCAUGUCCUUCGAUUCUACUUACCGAACCAACCGAUAUGACCUAGUUUUUACGCCAUUCACUGGAGUCAAUCAUCACAUGUAUCACAUUCGGUGCUGCCUUUUUACCAAAUGAGAAGAAAGAGUCGUACAAAUGGCUAUUCAGAACCUUUCUGAAAGCAAUGGGAGGGGUUGCACCUGAACUGAUCGUAACUGAUGAGGAACUUAGCAUGCAAUCAAAGAUGUCUUCCCAAACACCAUACACAGACUUUGCAUGUGGCACAUCCUUAACAAACUCCCAGAAAAGCUUGGUCGUGACUUCACCAAGGAUGAAGAGUUCAUGAAAAGAUUUGGGAUAUGUGUAUGGUGUUCAGAGACACCUGAUGAGUUUGAGUUAAGCUGGGCAUCAAUAAUUGCUGAUUAUGGACUUGGAAACAAUGUCUGGUUGAAUGAUAAGUAUGCUCUGCGAGAAUCUUGGAUUCCAGCAUACUUUGUAGGAUACUCACUAGGUGGUAUCCUACGAACUACCUCUAGAUCUGAAAGCGAGAAUGCAUUCUUUGGUCGCUUUGUAAACCGACGACUCGCUUUGCUUGAAUCCUGGAUCAGAUUUGAAGCUGCAUUGGAGGAACAACGGGAAAAGGAGCUAUACGAUGACAUUAUGACAACACCACGAUUCAUACAUCACCUGUACUCAAGACAUCUUGGAGCAUCGAGAAGCAUGCUAGGGAGGUCUACACACAUACCAUAUUUGAGAUCUUUCAGCAAGAGGUGGUCUCUGCGAGGGAUAAUUGUGUGGUGCAAGGUCUGGAACAGGUUGGAGAGGAAAAGAUCACCCGAAUUAGGGAUAGUAGAGGCAGGAUAAGGGAAGUUCGCUACAACAUAUGUUCCAAGGUUGUAAACUGCUCUUGCAAGUUGUUUGAGUCUAUCGGCAUUCUUUGUUCUCACACCAUUGUUGUCCUCAAGGCAGAACUGUACAAUGAAAUACCUAUUAACU